GCAGGCGUCUGCGACUCUGCUGCCUACGGAGGACUGCCACCGACAGUCCGUUUGCAAGAACGGCGUGGCGCCCUCGCUCAACGGCGGCUUCAACCCCCGGUGCGUGAGGCCGCCGUGCGUGCAGGGCAGAGUCGGCGACAGCGGGGCGCUGCCUCCCCAGCAGGAGGGCUUGACUGGCAGGUAUCAGGAUCCUGGAAGCGCUUCAGUAUAUCUGUCAGGACAGCAAGGCUUGAACGAUAGCAGCGGUGGUUCGGAUUACAAGCCUCCCCUCACCCCUCUCGCGGACUACCACCACCACCAUCACCACCACCAGCUACAGCAACAACAGCCAUACCAGCAAAUAGCCUCACCUCAACCGUACCACGUACCACCACAACAAUAUCCACUUCCACCACAGCAACAUUUAUUGACGACUCAACAGCCUUGUGGUUUGUCACAACCGCAGCAUCAGUACCAGACACCUCUACAGCCGUGCAGUGGUAGCGUACCUCAAGUACCACAGCAGUUACAGUACCAUCAGCUGGACGUCAUAUGAGAUCAGGCUUCUGUACCACUGAGCAAGAAGAACCUCAAGCGCCAUCAGGAGCUGCUUGCGAAGCAGGAUCACGUCUAGAGCAGCGCUUGUGUUCUACCUCGUUUCUGCAGACUCCAUGUACGACUAAUGCGUAUAUGCAAUUCUGGCUACUUUCUGCACUGAUGCUAUGCUAUGUUGGAUUAUAAAUUUUUAAUUCGAUUGUAUUGUUUCAUAGAUUCUUAAUGAUGACAACAUAAAAACUAGUGACAAACUUAGAAUUGUUUGUACCGAAAUUCUGCGCUGCUUUCAGCAGAAUACGGGAUGUAGGCAUAGAGUUGCCCAUAGCAUCACAAUCUGUCGGUAAUUCGUAAGUCCAAAACCGAUCCAUCAACAAGUAAAUGUCCAACAAUCGCAUAUCCAUCAACAUCAUGGCGUUGAUUCUGCUCCAGCUAUAAUCAUGCCAAAGGGGUCUCAGAAAAAAUUUUUUAUUAGAAAAAAUGUGUACUUGGUAAGCAGUUAAAGGUGCAAGUGUUCUUCUUGCUCAGUGGUACAGAGGUCCUUAAAGUCCAUGAACGAAUUUUCAAUUGAAAUGUCACGAAGCCGUUCGGCUUCUUCAUGUUUUUUCAUUUAUGGCAUGCAGGCGGCAAUAGGGAGAUUGUAAAUAAUAUUUCUGUAGAAGUAUCAUAUUUUCCAGGAAGGAAGGUCAUAUUUUCCAGUGAGCUUCGCUUUGCAGAGCUUGGUAGCAACAAAAGCUUGGUAGCAACAAUAAUUUUUUGGCGUCACGUAUGGCGUAUGAAGCCAAAUACUAAGAAUCGUUAACUAAGGAUUUUUCUAUUUUUAUUUGAGCUGUGGAUAUACGAAUCUCGUAGCAAAUAUUUAGGGAUUACAUUUUAAUAAUCUUAACUUCUGUGAUCCUAAAAUUCCUAAUUUGAAUUGCAACAAAUGUUUUUGGAGCGAACAAAAUUUUUUGUGAUAAGUAAAAUUCAACUUUGUAAUGUGACAAAACUCGGAAUUUGUAAUACUUAUGCGUUCUUUUUUCCGUUAACAGAAAGGAGAGAUCUUAUCAAUUUAAAUCAUGUAGUAGAUGUCUUCGUUGUGUCGUUGCGGAUUCGAACUUGCCGGUCGUUCAGCUUGGUAAUCUUUUUUAUGUAAUCGGUGUGCGGACAUCUUGAUAGCAGAUAUCGGGCAGGGCAUGACUGUACUGUGUAUGCAUUGUAUUACUCAGCACGGUAGUGUUAAGUCCAUGUCAAUCGAGAAUAUUUUUAUCUAGUCUUGUAGCUUUAAGUGAAAUUUAUGGUAAAAUAUUGAAAUUUGUAACGAUUUGUCCAAGUAAGUUGAACGUGGUAAUUUUUAUGGCGUUCGUUGCUGCAGUGAUUAAAUGUCAGAGAACUGGGCAUGGAUAAUUCUGCAAUCAACAAUCUAUUCUAUUGUGAUGUUGGCGCUCUGAAUGAGCGAUAUGACGUAUCCAAUAUUCAUUAUUAAUUUGAUAGUUAAUUUCUCAUUUUGUGAUAAACGCAAGAUUCACGGAGGGUUGUCACUCAAUCACGUGUAGAAUCAUCUUAAUGUAAUAUAACUUGAAGGAAAAUAAUUGCUUUACGUUUGAUAAAGUUGACAAAAAAAAUGCGUAGAUUUAUCUUUCGAUUAGCUUGUAAUAACGCGCUGAGGAACUCCUGGCAGCAUUCACAGAUCGUUUAUCCAUGUAAUGUAACGGCAAGUAAAUUUCCUACCUA
rnacentral:lncRNA from 1 species